ACGUAGGGGGCGAGCGUUGUUCGGAAUUACUGGGCGUAAAGGGCAUGUAGGCGGCUUUGUAAGCCCGGCGUGGAAGCCCACGGCUCAACCGUGGGAUUGCGUUGGGAACUGAGAGGCUUGAAUCAUGGAGAGGGAGCUAGAAUUCCUGGUGUAGGGGUGAAAUCUGUAGAGAUCAGGAAGAAUACCAGUGGCGAAGGCGAGCUCCUGGCCAAUGAUUGACGCUGAGGUGCGAAAGUGUGGAGAUCAAACAGGAUUAGAUACCCUGGUAGUCCACACUGUAAACGAUGUGCACUAGGUGCUGGGGCGGAUGCCUCAGUGCCGGAGCUAACGCGGUAAGUGCACCGCCUGGGGAGUAUGCUCGCAAGGGUG
rnacentral:rRNA from 1 species